rnacentral:rRNA from 1 species
AGAGCGAACGCUGGCGGCAGGCCUAACACAUGCAAGUCGAACGGACUCUUCGGAGUUAGUGGCGGACGGGCGAGUAACACGUGGGAACGUGCCUUUAGGUUCGGAAUAGCUCCUGGAAACGGGUGGUAAUACCGAAUGUGCCCUUCGGGGGGAAAGAUUUAUCGCCUUUAGAGCGGCCCGCGUCUGAUUAGCUUGUUGGUGAGGUAAUGGCUCACCAAGGCUACGACCAGUAGCUGGUCUGAGAGGAUGACCAGCCACAUUGGGACUGAGACACGGCCCAAACUCCUAACGGGAGGCAGCAGUGGGGAAUCUUGCGCAAUGGGCGAAAGCCUGACGCAGCCAUCGCCGCGUGUAUGAGUGAACGGUCUUAAGGAUUAGUAAAAUACUUUCGACCGGUAGAAGAUAAUGACUGUAGCCGGUAAGAACGAACGCCCCGGAUAACC